ACGAUCGCUGGCGGCGUGCUUAACACAUGCAAGUCGAACGGAAAGGCCCUGCUUUUGUGGGGUGCUCGAGUGGCGAACGGGUGAGUAACACGUGAGUAACCUGCCCUUGACUUUGGGAUAACUUCAGGAAACUGGGGCUAAUACCGGAUAGGAGCUCCUGCUGCAUGGUGGGGGUUGGAAAGUUUCGGCGGUUGGGGAUGGACUCGCGGCUUAUCAGCUUGUUGGUGGGGUAGUGGCUUACCAAGGCUUUGACGGGUAGCCGGCCUGAGAGGGUGACCGGCCACAUUGGGACUGAGAUACGGCCCAGACUCCUACGGGAGGCAGCAGUGGGGAAUAUUGCACAAUGGGCGGAAGCCUGAUGCAGCAACGCCGCGUGCGGGAUGACGGCCUUCGGGUUGUAAACCGCUUUCGCCUGUGACGAAGCGUGAGUGACGGUAAUGGGUAAAGAAGCACCGGCUAACUACGUG
rnacentral:rRNA from 1 species